AUUGAACGCUGGCGGCAGGCCUAACACAUGCAAGUCGAGCGAGCGGCGGACGGGUGAGUAAUGCCUGGGAAUUGCCCAGUCGAGGGGGAUAACAGUUGGAAACGACUGCUAAUAUCGCAUACGAUUGGAUUGCCCAGGUGGGAUUAGGUAGUUGGUGAGGUUAUGGCUCACCAAGGCGACGAACCCUAGCUGGUCUGAGAGGAAGGACACGCACACUGGAACAGAGACACGGUCCAGACUCCUGCGGGAGGAAGCAGUGGGGAAUAUUGCACAAUGGGGGAAACCCUGAUGCAGCCAUGCCGCGUGUGUGAGAAAGGGCUUCGGGUUGUAAAGCACUUUCAGUGAGGAGGCGUUACUCGCAGAAGAAGCACCGGCUAACUCCGUGCCAGCCGCCGCGGUAAUUC
rnacentral:rRNA from 1 species